CUUGCCAGACUCAUCAAAAUUGGCCUCACUCCAUUUCCUUGUCUAUACUGACUGCCAGUUUAAUUCUGGCUUCACCCCAGGGCCUGGGUGCACAAAGGAGCAAGAGUCCAGCACCCAGAAGAUACCAAACGCGGAGACUGGUGGAGCUGAAUUCGCACCAAUUCUAUGAGGGGGGUGGGGCUCUCCCAAGACCCUUGGAAGGAAUAAAAACAGGAGGGUUCCCUAAGCUGCCCUGGCUGUAUAGGGCUGUCACUCUGCUCGGGCUCCAUCCAGAUUAAGCAGCUCCAGAAGCCCCAGCUUCACCGGGCGGUGGGGACCCUGGAGAACCUGUUUUCAGGCGCCAGUCGCCAGGUUAAUCGGAUCCACCAGGGUCCAGGAGCACGCCCAGCAGCCCAGUGGGCGGGGAUGACAGCGCCCAGAUCCCAGCACAGCAGCCAAGGGAUCCACGCAGAGGGCUGCUGCAGGCCCAGGGGACGUGUCUCCGCCACCGCCAGGGACUCCACGCCGUUUCUCCUCCUUGUAUGUUGGCUUCUGCAGACCUGUGAGCCGAAAUCACCGAACGCCUCCAAGCCAAACAUCCUGCUGAUCUUGGCAGAUGAUCUGGGCCUCGGGGAUAUUGGUUGCUAUGGGAACCAUACACUGAGUUCUCGGCGGACACAACAUCUUUGUUGGUAUGUGGUGCUGAGGAUCGAACCCGGGCCGC